rnacentral:lncRNA from 1 species
UUUCAUUACACAAUAAUCAUGUUAUCAUUAUUUAUCUUAAGGAUUCUCUCACUCGUGAAUUAAAGUCAGCUCCUCCUAAUAGUCUCACAAUGCAUCUAGCCAAAGCUUUCUGUAACAUUCAUAAUGAUUAUGGUCUUAAAGCAAUGGCUCAUAUUUGGUAUAUGAAGUGAUACAGGAACUGCACUACAGGUGGGAGAAUGGUAUAGCGUUACCAAGUUUAGGGAAGAGUCAUCCUGACAUGUCUUGUUGUCUCUUACAUCAGAAACUACAGAUUCUUAAUGGUCCGCAUUGGCAGCUGCACAAGAAAUACGUACAACGAAUUUACAAGACGUAAUUUUGAUUUUAUUUCAAAUAAUGGAACAGUGUCAAUGUUUGCUCAUUUGCUUGGUAACUUGGUAACAUAAUGUGCUAUGACCUGAUGUAUGAGACCUGUAGUAUCAAUGGACUACUGGAGAAAAAGGAAAGAGAUUGUAAACCAAUGGACAUUGAUUUAUUAACAGAUCAUUAAAAAUGAGUCUGAUAAAAAGUUGAAGAGCUGCAGAAGUUAAGAAUAAGAGUUCCGAACUUGAAUUAGAGCUAGUGAUAAAGAAAGGGUUCAAUUCUCUUAAAGAUUAAACUGGAUCACUUAUUUGCUGUUGAGUCUCCAUUGGGUAUACUCUUAAUGCUAAGGGAACACAGUCCACUAGUGAAGGAAAGCAAAGGAGCUGAUUCACUGCUGCCUUUUGCUAAGAAAUUCUUAAUGUACAUCAUCCUUAAGAUCCUGUGGCCUAUCGUUUGGAGUCCAGUAUAUGCUCAAGUGAAGCGGGUAAAGAUGGACGCUGCUAGUAGCAAACCAACACAAAAGUCAAUGAGUCUAAGCUGAAGGACCCAAGACACCAGAAGUGACACAGAAUACUAAGAGUAGCAGCAACAGCUGGACGCAAUCACUGAUAUCAGCUGUAGUAGCUUCUAGUAAUAGUGCCAAAACUUUUAAAUCAUUUGAAUAAUUUUAUUGUAGUGGAUAAUAGGAUAUUAUUUUUCUACAGA